rnacentral:rRNA from 1 species
GACGAACGCUGGCGGCGUGCUUAACACAUGCAAGUCGAGCGGUAAGGCCCUUUCGGGGGUACACGGGCGGCGAACGGGUGAGUAACACGUGGGUGACCUGCCCUCAGCUCUGGGAUAAGCCUGGGAAACCGGGUCUAAUACUGGAUAUGACUCUAUGACGCAUGUUGUGGGGUGGAAAGCCUUGUGCGGCUGAGGAUGGGCCCGCGGCCUAUCAGCUUGUUGGUGGGGUGANGGCCUACCAAGGCGACGACGGGUAGCCGGCCUGAGAGGGCGACCGGCCACACUGGGACUGAGACACGGCCCAGACUCCUACGGGAGGCAGCAGUGGGGAAUCUUGCGCAAUGGGCGAAAGCCUGACGCAGCGACGCCGCGUGAGGGAUGACGGCCUGGUGUAAC